GUCUCAAGAUGAAGGAAGGGAUCCUGUCGAGCAAGCACCAUCACCUUGCUCUCCUUGUCUUCCUUCUCCAGCAUGGGACAUGAUCUGCUGUUGGUGAAAUACUGACUGCCCCAACAUCCUUGAUGCCAUUAUCUGAGCAUGCAAAAUCAGCAUCGGUGUGCUCUGAUGGCGAGGUCUGACGGAGGUGUCAUGGGGAGAGGAAGAUUACCACUUGUCAUGAAAGGACCCAUGAAAGGACACUAGCUGGCUGUGCACAUUCUUGACUACGCGAAGAGUCUGAGGUUCUCUGCCAAUCCCAGGAAAGCAGGAGAACAUGGAUGUCUUCUUCAGAAGAGUUGUGGGCAAAAUGGAGACUUCCACCUCUGGGCAGGGGUGAAUGGCUGAAUAUCACCCAGCUUCACAAGGAUGCAGCAUGCCCAUGGUACAUGGCCUACUCCCCUGCUUGGCACAGGAGGCACCAGGAGCGCAGCCCAGCAGGACCGUACCACCAGGCUGCUCUCUGUCCUCUGCAGCCAUACCACCAUGAGGGCCAAGGACACACAUACAGGGUUUCACUUUAUGGAUAUCUGGCCUAGAGGCAGAGUGUGCUGCCUGGUGAGCCGCUCCAACCACCUGAAAGAGAUUAUUUCUUUUUUUAAAAG
rnacentral:lncRNA from 1 species